rnacentral:rRNA from 1 species
UUCGAUCAUGGCUCAGAUUGAACGCUGGCGGGAUGCUUUACACAUGCAAGUCAGGAACGGCAGCACGGACUUCGGUCUGGUGGCGAGUGGCGAACGGGUGAGUAAUGUAUCGGAACGUGCCUAGUAGCGGGGGAUAACUACGCGGCGUCAACUAGCCUGCAUACAGCGUACUAGGAAAGCGAGGGGGACCUUCAGACCUCGCACUAUUAGAGCGGCCGAUAUCGGAUUAGCUAGUUGGUGGUGGGGUAACGGCUCACCAAGGCGACGAUCCGUAGCUGGUUUGAGAGGACGACCAGCCACUGGGACUGAGACACGGCCCAGACUCCUACCGAGCAGCAGUGGGGAAUUUGCGGAUAAUGGAAGCCCUGAUCCAGCCAUCCCGCGUGUGCGAUGAAGGCCUUCGGGUUGUAAAAACACUUUUGGCAGGAAAGAAACGGCACGGGAUAAUACCCCGUGCAACUGACGGUACCUGCAGAAUAAGCACCGGCUAACUACGUGCCAGCAGCCGCGGUAAUACGUAGGGUGCAAGCGUUAAUCGGAAUUACUGGGCGUAAAGCGUGCGCAGGCGGUUCGGAAAGAAAGAUGUGAAAUCCCAGAGCUUAACUUUGGAACUGCAUUUUUAACUACCGAGCUAGAGUGUGUCAGAGGGGAGGUGGAAUUCCGCGUGUAGCAGUGAAAUGCGUAGAUAUGCGGAGGAACACCGAUGGCGAAGGCAGCCUCCUGGGAUAACACUGACGCUCAUGCACGAAAAGCGUGGGGAGCAAACAGGAUUAGAUACCCUGGUAGUCCGCCUAAACGAUGUCAACUAGCUGUUGGGCCUUGGGCAUGGCCAUGCGCAACUAACGCGUGAAGUUGACCGCCUGGAGCGGUCGCGGAAUUAAAACUCAAAAUUGACGGGGACCCGCACAAGCGGUGGAUGAUGUGGAUUAAUUCGAUGCAACGCGAAAAACCUUACCUACCCUUGACAUGUCUGCCGAAUCCCGAAGAGAUUUGGGAGUGCUCGCAAGAGAACCGGAACACAGGUGCUGCAUGGCUGUCGUCAAAUAUUAUGAGAUGUUGAUUUAAGUCCCGCAACGAGCGCAACCCUUGUCAUUAGUUGCUACGAAGGGCACUCUAAUGAGACUGCCGGUGACAAACGGAGAAGGGAUGGGAUUGACAAUCAAGUCCUCAUGGCCCUUAUGGGUAGGGCUUCACACGUCAUACAAUGGUCGGGACAGAGGGUCGCCAACCUUAGAGGGCCCGAUACGGCGAUCGUAGUCUGGAUCGCAGUCUGCCACACGCGUGCUCGACUGCGUUGAAGUCCGAAUCGCUUCAUGUAUCCGCGGAUCAGCAUGUCUCAAAGUGAAUACGUGGGUCUUGUACACACCGCCCGUCACACCAUGGGAGUGGGGGUUUACCAGAAGUAGUUAGCCUAACCGCUAAGGAGGGCGAUUACCACGGUAGGAUUCAUGACUGGGGUGAAGUCGUAACAAAGU